rnacentral:rRNA from 1 species
CGUACACUCCUACGGGAGGCAGCAGUGGGGAAUAUUGGACAAUGGGCGCAAGCCUGAUCCAGCCAUGCCGCGUGAGUGAUGAAGGCCCUAGGGUUGUAAAGCUCUUUCACCGGUGAAGAUAAUGACGGUAACCGGAGAAGAAGCCCCGGCUAACUUCGUGCCAGCAGCCGCGGUAAUACGAAGGGGGCUAGCGUUGUUCGGAUUUACUGGGCGUAAAGCGCACGUAGGCGGACUAUUAAGUCAGGGGUGAAAUCCCGGGGCUCAACCCCGGAACUGCCUUUGAUACUGGUAGUCUUGAGUUCGAGAGAGGUGAGUGGAAUUCCGAGUGUAGAGGUGAAAUUCGUAGAUAUUCGGAGGAACACCAGUGGCGAAGGCGGCUCACUGGCUCGAUACUGACGCUGAGGUGCGAAAGCGUGGGGAGCAAACAGGAUUAGAAACCCGGGUAGUCCC